UUUUUUUUAAAGUAAUCUCUGUGCUCAGUGUGGGCUCCAUCUCAAAACCACAAGAUUAAGAAUCACAUGCUCUACUGAGACAGCCAGGCACCCCACCUAGAGGGCUUUUAAAUAAACUCUUACUGUCAUGCCAAAGCUCAUCAGCCAUCUUAAAUGCCAUGGCCAAUAGCAUUAUUUUAGUCCUCAUUCCAUAAAAACUUAACAUUUAUUCCUCUUAGUGGGUUCCUUUAUUGUAGUGGUUUCCUAUAGGACUCUUAAAACCACAGAUUUGUUGAGCCUCACCCCUGGAAUUUGAGUCAGUAGGCCUUGGGUGGAUUCUGAGGAUUUACAGUUCUAACAGGUUUCCACGUGAUAGCCCCAUGCUUUGAGAAUUGCUCUAGCCCACUAGCCUUAUUUGCAUGAUUAGGACUAUAUUGUCCAGUUUAUCACAUUUCAGCUUGGAAGAAGUUGCAAGGGCAAUUGUUUUUUGGGUUUUGUGUGUGUUUUUUGUUUAUUAUAGUUGUUUUUUUAAAGCCGAUGAUGUAGAAGUUCUACUCUUCUUCAUAUUCAGCUUCUAAGAAUUUAGUCACAUGGCUGCAACUAGAUACAAAUAAUACUGGAAAACCUGCAUUUUCAGUGAGCAGCCUUGUGCCUGGGAAGAAGGGAAGAACAUAUUUUUAAGUCUUUUAAUAUUCUUCUGCAACCAUUGAACUUUUAAAAGCCUCUUAUGAAGGGUUUGCAGUAGUUUAAAAAAAGAGACCUGUAUGAUAAAAUAAUAAUACAAUAAAAAUAAGGAAAUCUGGGUCAUAGAAAAUAGAAUGUACUAUGUCAGUACUAGGACUGGAGAAUAUAAAAGGGAAAUCCUGAUGUAAAGUCCAGGUGGGUCUUUUAGUCAAGCCUAAAAUAUGGCUAUGGUUUCUGAUUACUGUUUCUAUAACUGGUGUCAGCAUGUUACAUUGGUUUUGCAUCCAUUCCUGUUUGAUGAAAAAUGUAAUUGAUGAGGUGUCUGGUUUUCCUCAGGGCAUUGGUGGCCAGUAAAAAUUUGUAUGCCUCAUAUAUGAUUUUUGUAUUAUUUUUUAAUUUCAGUUAUCUUUAAUAUAUCCAAAAUAUUAGUAUGGAAUCAGUAUUUUUAAAAAUUGAUAUUUUUGGGGGGCGCCUGGUAAUCUUCAAAAUCGUUGUCAGUUAUAUACUGAUGGCAUAUCUCUGUUGAGAGUAGCCAUAUCUCAAGUAUUUAGAAGCUACAUUUGACCUCGGUCUACUGUAUUGAACAGUGUAGGUGUAGGAAUUUCAGGGGCAGAAUUUUGGGCCAUAGUUGUUUUGUUAUUUGUUUUGUAGGGGGGUGGGGCAUAGUUCUUUGGAGACAUUUGUUUAUAAACUCCAUAUGGAUUUGGGGAAUCGGGAAAUGUGGAAAUUGCUGAGUACAAAAUUUUCAAUAUGUUGCCCUGAAAAUCAAAAAAAAAAAAAAUAAUAAUAAUGAACAAAUUGGAAUAAGCAUAUAUUUAAUUUUGA